GCCAGGUGUGGUGGUGCACACCUGUAGUCCCAGCUACUCCGGAGGCUGAGGUGGGAGGAUUGCUUGAGCCCAGGUAUUUGAGGCUGCAGUGAGCCAUGCGCAUGCUACUGCACUCCAGCUUGGGUGACAGAGUGAGACCCUGUCUCUA
ensembl:misc_RNA Metazoa_SRP Metazoan signal recognition particle RNA